CCUACGGGAGGCUGCAGUGGGGAAUAUUGGACAAUGGGCGAAAGCCUGAUCCAGCCAUGCCGCGUGUGUGAAGAAGGCCUUCGGGUUGUAAAGCACUUUCAGUGGGGAAGAAAGCCUUGGGGCUAAUACCCUCGAGGAAGGACAUCACCCACAGCAGAAGCACCGGCUAACUCCGUGCCAGCAGCCGCGGUAAUACGGAGGGUGCGAGCGUUAGUCGGAAUUACUGGGCGGAAAGCGCGCGUAGGCGGUCUGAUAAGCCGGUUGUGAAAGCCCCGGGCUCAACCUGGGAACGGCAUCCGGAACUGUCAGGCUAGAGUGCAGGAGAGGAAGGUAGAAUUCCCGGUGUAGCGGUGAAAUGCGUAGAGAUCGGGAGGAAUACCAGUGGCGAAGGCGGCCUUCUGGACUGACACUGACGCUGAGGUGCGAAAGCGUGGGUAGCAAACAGGAUUAGAUACCCGAGUAGUC
rnacentral:rRNA from 1 species